GACGAACGCUGGCGGCGUGCUUAACACAUGCAAGUCGAGCGGUAAGGCCCUUUCGGGGGUACGACGAGCGGCGAACGGGUGAGUAACACGUGGGUGACCUGCCCUUAGCUCUGGGAUAAGCCUGGGAAACUGGGUCUAAUACCGGAUAUGACCUCAUGACUCAUGUUGUGGGGUGGAAAGCCUUGUGCGGCUAGGGAUGGGCCCGCGGUCUAUCAGCUUGUUGGUGGGGUAAUUGCCUACCAAGGCGACGACGGGUAGCCGGCCUGAGAGGGCGACCGGCCACACUGGGACUGAGACACGGCCCAGACUCCUACGGGAGGCAGCAGUGGGGAAUCUUGCGCAAUGGGCGAAAGCCUGACGCAGCGACGCCGCGUGAGGGAUGACGGCC
rnacentral:rRNA from 1 species